CAGUAGUCAUUUCACGGGUUCUAUAUGGUGAACAUAUCUGAGAUGAUUCUUUUUCAGUAGUCCUGGGACAACUAGAUCUUUGACUUACUACUUUCGUCCUUUUGUCCUGAUUUUUAGGGAAUAUUUGUUUAUAGCCAAACUAAAAGAGCAGGCUGCAGUACAGCCACAAGACCCAUUUCUGUGUAAUAUCGCCGAGCGGAAAGCUUAAAUUCCCCAGUCAGAAAAUAAGCAUCCACUGAGAGAUGAAUCUUGUAGAAAAGUAGUGAUGAAAAACUCAAUCCACACCCAGAGUUUGGCGAAGGUCACUUCUGGAUGAUGAUGGGGGGAAAUGAAGCUGUGUAUUUGUGAACCAAAUUAAUACAUGAAUCUGUAAAGCAUUCAGGCUGACCUUGAGACAAAUGCAUCUCCUUCUUCCAACCAAAUUAUAGUUUCUAACUCCACAGAAGGAUUGCCUUUCUGAGUGCUGACUCCAAGAAAGCGUGCUCCCUGGCGGAUGGUUCCUGACAGAGAAUUGCAAUUUUCAAUACUGACUUCCUGCCAGCAAGAAGAAAACAGAAAGGAAAAAGCAUACGAAGGAGUGGAGGAAACAAAUUGUAUAUCCAGGGCAUACCUGAAGGUGGGAGGCACUGUUAACCAAACUGCCUUGGCUACCAGGUUGAGAUUUUUCUCCAUAAAAGCUGAAACCAUUCAUUGAUCCUUUCUAGUCUUGAGAGACAGUGUUUGCAAGAAUCAAAGAAAUGGGCAACAAGAGAGCUAGACAUAUUUUAGCAUUUAGGUCUAUUUUUUCUCCUUUAAUUGGACAAAAACAUUCUUAAGAAAUACUUUACCAUACAUGCCAAUUGGAUGAACAUCAAGUCACAGAAUAAAAACAGCUAUUGUCGGUCAAUCAGCAGAAUACCACCGAAAUCUUGAAUGUAUCUUCCAAAUGCAGCUAAUAGUAAACAUAUGUAUACUGCUCUCAGCAAAAAUUAAAAAUUAAUCACACCAAAAUUAAGAACAAAAUUUAUUUAAGGAAAAAAUUAUUCUAGUUAGUGAGGUCAGAUUUUUUCAGCUCAACCUAAAUUAUUGCUACCAACUCUCAGAUGUGUUAUUUCAUGUUAGUGUGUGGGAAAGAAAGGGUGUAUGCUAUUGCUUUGUUACUGUUGCAAAAGUAAGCACUUCUUUAAAAAAUACAGAAUAAUUACAGAAGAAAAUAAUAAAAAAAGAAUGAAAAUGAGAAUCUUCCCUUCCCCUUACAAAAAAAAAAAAAAAGAAAAAGAAAAAAACUAUGAGAGUGACUAUAAAACCUUCAAGCAGUAUAAAAAGGUGCCAGUAUAGGUACAUUUAACAAGUACCU
rnacentral:lncRNA from 1 species